UUCAUAUCUCUCAUUUGAACUCUGAUAUUUAGAUUAUAAGGAUCUCAGUGAGUUGGAGAAGACAUCCUUCAGUGUGCCCAGUGAAAAAGGAGGGAGAUUUCUUGGUUACUCUUUCAUAUCGUAUUUAUGGGAAUCAAGUACGAAGAAGAAGAA